GUGGCCGGAACGCCGAGUCCUGCCUGCUGGUCACGGUCAACAACACACAGGCAUGGAGCGGGGGACCCACAAGUUCUCCGGCGCGCUCCUCGGAGCGUGCCUCGGGGUGAAGCCGCACCUAGCGGCCGGGCUCCUCGGCCCGAACCCGACAGCUCACCUCGCAGGCGUGGAGGGAAAACUU
rnacentral:sRNA from 2 species